rnacentral:rRNA from 1 species
AGGGUUUGAUCAUGGCUCAGAACGUACGCUGGCGGCACGCCUAACACAUGCAAGUCGAACGAAGUAGCAAUACUUAGUGGCAGACGGGUGAGUAACAUGUAGGUAUCUGCCCUUUGGCCUGGAAUAACACGAGGAAACUUGUGCUAAUACCGGAUAAGUCUUUACGGAGAAAGCUUUAUGCACCAUUGGAUGAGCCUGCACUUGAUUAGUUUGUUGGUGGGGUAAUGGCCUACCAAGACUGUGAUCAAUAGCUGAUUUGAGAGGAUGAUCAGCCACAUUGGGACUGAGACACGGCCCAAACUCCUACGGGAGGCAGCAGUGGGGAAUCUUGCACAAUGGAGGAAACUCUGAUGCAGCGAUGCCGCGUGAGUGAAGAAGGCCUUUGGGUUGUAAAGCUCUUUCGUCGGGGAAGAAAAUGACUGUACCCGAAUAAGAAGGUCCGGCUAACUUCGUGCCAGCAGCCGCGGUAAUACGAAGGGACCUAGCGUAGUUCGGAAUUACUGGGCUUAAAGAGUUCGUAGGUGGUUGAAAAAGUUGGUGGUGAAAUCCCAGAGCUUAACUCUGGAACUGCCAUCAAAACUUUUCAGCUAGAGUAUGAUAGAGGAAAGCAGAAUUUCUAGUGUAGAGGUGAAAUUCGUAGAUAUUAGAAAGAAUACCAAUUGCGAAGGCAGCUUUCUGGAUCAUUACUGACACUGAGGAACGAAAGCAUGGGUAGCGAAGAGGAUUAGAUACCCUCGUAGUCCAUGCCGUAAACGAUGUGUGUUAGACGUUGGAAAUUUAUUUUCAGUGUCGCAGCGAAAGCGAUAAACACACCGCCUGGGGAGUACGACCGCAAGGUUAAAACUCAAAUGAAUUGACGGGGACCCGCACAAGUAGUGGAGCAUGUGGUUUAAUUCGAAGAUACGCGCAGAACCUUACCAACACUUGACAUGUUCGUCGCGACUUUAAGAGAUUAAAGUUUUCGGUUCGGCCGGACGAAACACAGGUGCUGCAUGGCUGUCGUCAGCUCGUGUCGUGAGAUGUUGGGUUAAGUCCCGCAACGAGCGCAACCCUCACUUUUAGUUGCCAUCAUUAAGUUGGGCACUCUGAAAGAACUGCCAGUGAUAAGCUGGAGGAAGGUGGGGAUGACGUCAAGUCCUCAUGGCCCUUACGUGUUGGGCUACACACGUGCUACAAUGGUAUCUACAACAGGAAGCAAAACUGCGAAGUUAAGCAAAUCCUUAAAAGAUACCUCAGUUCGGAUUGCACUCUGCAACUCGAGUGCAUGAAGCUGGAAUUACUAGUAAUCGUGGAUCAGCGUGCCACGGUGAAUGCGUUCCCGGGUCUUGUACACACCGCCCGUCACACCAUGGGAGUUGGUUCUACCUUAAGGCAAGGUUUAAAACCCUUGACCACGGUAUAGUCAGCGACUGGGGUGAAGUCGUAACAAGGUAACCGUA